UACGUAGGGUGCGAGCGUUGUCCGGAAUUAUUGGGCGUAAAGAGCUCGUAGGCGGUUUGUUGCGUCUAUCGUGAAAACCUGCAGCUUAACUGUGGGCUUGCGGUGGAUACGGGCAGACUUGAGUUCGGUAGGGGAGACUGGAAUUCCCGGUGUAGCAGUGAAAUGCGUAGAGAUCGGGAGGAACAUCAGUUGCGAAGGCGGCUCUCUGGACCAGCACUGACACUGAGGCACGAAAGCGUGGGGAGCAAACAGG
rnacentral:rRNA from 1 species